UUCAAAAUUGUAAAAAUUCACUUUGAAAAAAAAAAAAAUCUGUUCGCGAAGUUUAUAGAGCACAGGCGGCAUCAUCGGUUCUUAUUUCUUUUGAAAUGAGGAAGAAGCUGAUUUUAAUAUUAAUCAGCUAAACAUGGACGACAUUUGUUUCCAACAAGGCAACGCAACUUUCUAUACAGCUCGCUUAACGAUUAAUUUAUUGCAAUAAUCAAGCCACCAUUGACGCCAUGCAAUUCGUAGCCGCAGCGAAGAUAUGCCGGUUAUCAUAUUCAAAAAAUAAAUGCCAUGAAAUUAUAACUUAUGAUAAGAUUAAUUCCUUUUAAAAACACCCGAUAUUUGAAACAUGAAGAAUUGUGAAUAGACUCACAAUGGUUGUUCGUAACUUUGAAGUUGACUAAGCAAAGAUAUAAGUAGGCUGAACUUGACAAUUUGUACCUAUGGUGUAGCUUCAUAACCCAUUUCGUGCCUCAUAUUGUAUUUCGUUAACAUUUUUAGAUGUGGCCCAUAUAUUCUAAAGGUAUGGUAUUCGCUUUAUGCCCGUUCAAUGAUGGAGCAUGCUGUUUUUAUUUGGAGGCCUAUCAACAAAUUUAAAUAAAUCGAUUGGUAUUGUACAAAAGGCAUUUAUCCGUUCCUUUGUGCUUGGAAAAUUUGACAACUGAGUGAUGUGAGUACCAAAAAAAUAAACAAACAUUUGUGGAAAAAUGAUAUUUAAUUGACUACGUCGACAAUUGUAGUUCUACAGCAAAAAUUUCGUGCCGUCACCUAAAUAAUUGCGUUUAUAAGUACAUGUGUUUUUUGAUACUUGGCAGAUGUAGUCUGCCGAUAU